AAUGCAUCCUUAUCAUGAAUGCUCUACACCUCCACCUCCAUCUCCCACAACCUAGGUAACAGCUUUGAGACUCACUAAAAGUUGAACCCCCUGAAUGAUGUAGGCUAUGGGGCCACAUAAGACUUUGUCCAUCCAGGGUUACGAUGAAUGCAAAAUAUAAACUAAAGAACCAACAUUUUUCACACAACUCCAGGUUGUUACUACAAGUGUUCCAUCAAGGGAUAACUACUACAAGUAGAAGCACCAUUUUUGGAUGGAAAAAAACCCUUCAGGAAAGUAUACGUAUCACAUGUAACAUGUAGUGUAACAAAGUAUGAACAGUAAGGUUUUUACAUA